rnacentral:sRNA from 1 species
UUCCGGGAGACACAUGUCCUCGGAGUCGAGCAGAGCAUACAGAUGAAGGAACAACAAUUAGGGGCAGUACAGCAGCACACACACCUCAGGAACAGUACGCCAUUAUUCAGCCACAACCAACCAGCAAUUCAGCCCAACCAGCCCCAACAAAUCAGCGAUCAACACAAUGGAACAUAAAACAACCAGAGAACAAACUACACAUAAGAAGCAUUCAAGCAGUGAAACUAAUGAUAACCGAUGACGACUUGGAAACGACUUGGAUUUGAAGUGUGGAGUAGGCCUACUGGGGAUACCACGUAAAAAAAAAACGCGCCCAGAUCUUUACCAAAUGUUGGUGGUGUGGAAAAGAGUUCAUUAAACUGUCCAAAUAUAAACGUAUAGUACGAAUAAAUAAAGAAUGACCAAUUCA